CCUAUACAUACAUACAUGCAUACAUAUAUAUACAUAAUUAUAUAUAAUAUAUGUUUGUAUAUAUAUAGACAAACAUCUAUAUAUACAUAUAUAUAUCGAUCUAUAGAUAUACCUAUAUAUUUAUCCAAACACUUAGGACUCAAGCUCGAUUGGCGCGAAAUUGAAUGGGGGACAGAGAGAGAGAGAGAGAGAGAGAGAGAGAGAGAGAGAGAGAGAGAGAGAGGGAGAGAGAGAGGGAGAGAGAGAGAGAGAGAGAGAGAGAGAGAGAGAGAGAGAAUUUUACGGUGGCGCGUAGAAGUGGCGACGCGCGCGUCUCGACGCCUUUCGAGGCCAUUUCGAUGAGACGACGACGCCGUCCUCGACGGCGUCAGCGUCGUCCUCGUCGGUUCUUCUCGGCACAGCACGUCGACCGGCGACGGCUACGUCUCCUUCUCCGCUACGGUGCGUGUGUACAGAUAUGUAUGUACGUGCAUACUAACCUCGAUGAAGGACGAACACUGCUUCUCCUUCUCAUUGGAGACAAGAGAAGCACUAGCAGCAGAGCAGCGCAACAGUAUCAGUAGAGAAGGUCGAUCCUAGUCAGCCGUGAUGUGAGAUCCCGAGAAGACGUUUGGAAGGAAGGAGGACGGAUUUAUCGUUAAAGAAGAGGAAAUGAAAUGGAAAUUUCUCUACUGUAUUUCAUCUGACAUCGAGAUGAUGAGACGUUAAUUUGUUCGUUGAGCAUUUAUCGAUCGAACAUCUUCAAGUAUCUCGCCUCGUUGGAUCUCCUCCUUCGUUAACGAAGCAUUCUCUUAUCGUAAUGAUAAAUACGGGAUACCUAGUUUAAUGGAGAGAUGUAGCUUGCGUGUAUACAUACAGCCAACAUAUGAAAAAGAAAAAAAAAAUUUGCAUACUUUUGCGAUAACGAAAAUUGUGUUUGUCGACUAAUGCUAAAAAAUAACAUAUGUUCGUUUCUAAACUUGAUCAGUUUAAAAAUUUACUUAUUUAUGUAUUUCCUUUUUUUUUUUUGUUUUCUCCCUUAAAAUUACAUUACACAGAAAAAUCGAAAUGAAAGGUUGGAUCUUUUAUCAUUUUAAUUAUUUAAAGUGUAAACAGAUAUUGGUAUUACGUUUCGUACAAAUAUGAUACUCGUCGUGACGCAGAAUCAACGUAGAAUCGACGCGUAAAUGAUGAAACGGGGAAAUUGCGUAGUUCGUAUCUCGCAUAACCAUGUUCGAGCUAUAUCCCUUCUUUCGUGGAAAGGGUGUUCCACGAGUAAAUUAUUUCUUCAUGCAUCCAUUCUAUGAACGUUAAACUACAUCGAGUGUAAUUGACAGAUCAUUUAUUGAAAAUGUAAUUAUAUCGUUAAGUUUUCAAAGAAGUUAUACAAUAACAACAAUAACAAAGAAAAAGGAUGAUAUUUUCUGCAUCCUUUUUUUUUAUGAUUACGUUGCUAUAACAAUGAAUUAUGUUGUCAUGUUUCAUUGAAUUUACUUUUUCAUCUAUUCCCCGAUGACGUUAUACUCAUCAUAAAUUUAUUCUCUGUCUUUCUCUAUCUCUCUUCCUCCUUCUCUCUGUCUCUCUAUUCAUUAUUUUGUUUGGAAGUAGCCCGUGAUGCGAUCGAUCGUAGAGUUCGUCCAAUAGAAAGAACAUAAACGAUAAGAAAAUGCCCCUAUCGAGAAUUCGCGAAAUUCAUCAAAAAGACGUAUCUAUUAAAUUCGUAAAUAUUUUUUAUGUUUCUUAUCGUUAGUUAUCCUACAAUCGAUUUCUCUUUCUCUCUCUCUCUCUCUUUCUUUCUUUUUUUCUGAAUAAUUCUUGAAUUUCUCGGCUCCUGAAUUUUUCAAGAAUGACUUGAAAGUUCAAAAUGUCAAAUGCAUGAAUCCAAGUACUUGGUUUUCCAACGAUAGAGUUUAAUUUAAUACUUCGAGGCUAGACAGAUAGAAUAGACUUCGACUCACUUACUAUCAGCUACUAUGAUCUCUUCACCUGUUAUGCUCUCUCUUUCUGUCUGUCUGUCUGUCUGUCUGUCUGUCUAUCUAUCUGUCUAUCUAUCUAUCUAUCUGUCUGUCUGUCCCCUUCUUUCUCUUUCUCAUUCUCUCUCUCUCUCUCCCCUUUCCCCAUCUCUCUCUCUCCACCAUUUCUCCUUCUCUUCCUCUUUCUCAUUCGCUUUCCCCUGCAAUUCCCAUUCACGUUCCUCUUUGAACGAUAUCGCUUCCAAGCCAACUUGCGUUUCGACUGCUGCUGUUGCUGCUGCUACUGCUGCUGCUGCUGUUGCUGUUGCUGUUGCUGCUGCUGUUGCUGCUCCUGCUGCUGCUAUUGCUAUUGUUGCUGUUUCUGUUGCUGCUGCUGCUUUGUCAAUUAGCCCAUCAAUUUCGCACAGCAUUAAUCGUUAUCUCAUCGAUCCUCUCUCUCUCAAAUGCUCGUCUCGUAGCUUAUUUAUUCGACGAAUAAGAGAUAUAUGCCGAUAACAGAAUAUCCGUGUGGUUUGUGUAUCGGACGCAUCGAGGAUUAUUUCACGUUAACAGUAUUCUUUUUUAAUAUUAUAAUAGAUUUUCUUGUUUGUCUAAAAAAGAAAAAAGAAAAAAAAACUUGAUCGUCUUAAUUAAGAUCUUUUUUUCUUUUUUUGUUUUUUAAAUCUUUUCUCUCUUUUUUUUCUCCGGUAUAAUUUCAAAUAGUUUCUUUAAAUGUUAGUUAUACCAAAUUGAAUAUUGGGAGGAAAGAAGGUGACUGGUGACUUAAUAAGUAAAUAUGUAUAGUCUUAUAAUAUAAUUAAUUAUAAUUGAGUGCGUGUGUAUAUAUGUGUGCACGCGUUAGUAUAAUUAUCGCUUUAAGAUAAUUUCUCCCUUCUACCUUCUUUCUUUUUUUUCGUUUCCAGAAUUUCAGAUAGCCCCUUAAAAUGCUAGUUAAUCCAUCUAAUCGAUAGAUACAUAGAAAGUGAAGUAUAGCAUAUAUAUAUACGUAUAUAUGUAUGUAUGUAUAUAUGUAUGUAUAUUUGGUAUAGUUUCAAAUUCGAUCGAUGAAGCUUUUUCGUAAACUAGUUUCCUUCGAAACUCGAUCACAGCCAUGUCAGUGGUUAUGGCCAUGAUGGUAGGUUCCCACUCAAAGACUUCAUCCGAAGCUGUUCAGCGGUUAAUCCUAUUUGAUGUAUAGUCGGAUUAUUAAGAGCCCGUGUCUAUCUUUCUCCGUGACUUCGUAAGAUAUUUUAACGAUAGAUCAAUAAUGUGCCUGUGACAAAGAGGAAGGAAAAAUUAAACACAAUUUUUAUACCUCACUGAUGUACCUAACAAUAUCUUAUAAUUUUAUUCAUAUUAUUUAAUUCGUUUUAUAUAUAUAUAUAUAUAUAUAUAUAUAUAUAUAUAUCGUUUUAAAACGAUUAUAAAUAGGAUUUUGAUACGAGAUAUAAACGAGUUACUAUUAAAUGAUUAUUAUCAUAGCAAGCGCAGUCUCUUGAUCGAACAAGUGCAAGCAUUAACACUUUGAUAUCGCGUAACUAGUAUUUACGUAACACCUUUGGAAUCACUUUAACGAGCACCUUUGUACAUAUGAUAUGAUUUCUUGAAAGCAUCUUGUUCAUUUUGAAUAGUUCUGUUUUCUCGUUGACAGAUCAUUAAAACACAAAAAUUAUAAGUCGAAAAUUAUUGUCGAUUUUAGUCAUGAUUUAAAAAGAAAAAAAAAAGUAAAUUAUUAAAAAGAAUAAAGAAAAAAGAAAAAGCUAAUAUUUUCAUGCACUUAAUGAGAUCGUUACGAUAUCUUUUAUAGCUUCAUUUAUUAUAAGAAUCUCACGUAAGAGAUGUUAUUAUAAUUUUCUUUUUCAGUUCUUCUUCUUUUUUCGUUUUUUUUUUCAUAUUGUUGAUUUUUUCUUUUUUUCGUUUUCUUUCUUUCUUUCUUUUUUUUUUUGCGAUACAUCGCAUGCCUCGUAUAUUUUCGAAACGAGAACGCUCGACAGUUAAAACGAGUCGUUGGGAGAUUCGAAGUUCGUACUCGUGUCUCUCUCUCCUUUCUGAAAUCAUCUCCUGGAGCGGGCGACCUUGAAACCAGCUGACAAACCGGAGAGAAAGAGAGAGAGAGAGAGAGAGAGAGAGAGAGAAGAGGAGAGGAGAGACGACGGCUGUGCGAAAGAAGGAUUGCGCAACGCUUCGAAAUACCAUAGCUUUCGAUCUCUCCCUCUCUCUCCCUCUCCCCUCUUUCUAUCUAUCUAUCUAUCUAUCUCAUUCUCUCUCUGUCUCUCUCUCUUUCUUUCUUUCUUUUUUCUGCCUACAGUGGUCCUCCUCAUGCCAGAUUCUUUUUAUUUCUCUUCGGGACGAGUUGUAUAAAUGGAAAAAAACAACCUUUCUCUACCCGUCCAGCACGAUCGAUGUAUUCGUCUUCUUUUUCUUCUUCUACUUCUUCUUCUUCUUCUUCUUCUUCUUCUUCUUCUUCUUCUUCUUCUUCUUCUUCUUCUUCUUCGUCGUCGUCGUCGUCGUCGUCGUCA